rnacentral:rRNA from 1 species
UACGUAGAGUGCAAGCGUUGCCCGGAUUUAUUGGGCGUAAAGGGCGCGUAGGCGGCUCGGCACGUCCGUUGUGAAAUCGCCCGGCUCAACUGGGCGGGGUCAGCGGAUACGGCCGAGCUUGAGCAAGCUAGGGGGCAAUGGAAUUCCCGGUGUAGUGGUGGAAUGCGUAGAUAUCAUUUGGAACGCCAAUGGUGAAAACAGGUAGCUGGGGCUGUGCUGACGCUGAGACACGAAAGCCAGGGGAGCAAACGGG